rnacentral:rRNA from 1 species
UAGGGAAUCUUCGGCAAUGGACGAAAGUCUGACCGAGCAACGCCGCGUGAGUGAAGAAGGUUUUCGGAUCGUAAAACUCUGUUGUUAGAGAAGAACAAGGACGUUAGUAACUGAACGUCCCCUGACGGUAUCUAACCAGAAAGCCACGGCUAACUACGUGCCAGCAGCCGCGGUAAUACGUAGGUGGCAAGCGUUGUCCGGAUUUAUUGGGCGUAAAGCGAGCGCAGGCGGUUUCUUAAGUCUGAUGUGAAAGCCCCCGGCUCAACCGGGGAGGGUCAUUGGAAACUGGGAGACUUGAGUGCAGAAGAGGGGGGUGGAAUUCCAUGUGUAGCGGUGAAAUGCGUAGAUAUAUGGAGGAACACCAGUGGCGAAGGCGGCUCUCUGGUAUGUAACUGACGCUGAGGCUCGAAAGCGUGGGGAGCAAACAGG